rnacentral:rRNA from 1 species
CCUACGGGUGGCAGCAGUAGGGAAUAUUGCUCAAUGGGGGAAACCCUGAAGCAGCAACGCCGCGUGGAGGAUGAAGGUUUUCGGAUUGUAAACUCCUUUUGUAAGAGAAGAUAAUGACGGUAUCUAACGAAUAAGCACCGGCUAACUCCGUGCCAGCAGCCGCGGUAAUACGGUGGGUGCAAGCGUUACCCGGAAUCACUGGGCGUAAAGAGUGCGUAGGCGGGAUAGCAAGUCAGAUGUGAAAUCCUAUGGCUUAACCAUGGAACUGCAUUUGACACUGUUAAUCUAGAGUAUGGGAGAGGUAAGUGGAAUUCCUGGUGUAGCGGUAAAAUCCGUAGAUAUCAAGAGGAAUACUCAUUGCGAAGGCGAUCUGCUAGAACAUUAUUGACGCUGAUGCGCGAAAGCCUGGGGAGCAAAUAGGAUUAGAUACCCUAGUAGUC